GAUGAACGCUAGCGGCAGGCCUAAUACAUGCAAGUCGAACGGUGUCUUCGGACAUAGUGGCGCACGGGUGCGUAACACGUAUGCAACCUACCUUACAUUGGGGGAUAGCCUUUCGAAAGGGAGAUUAAUACCGCAUAAGACAGUAGCUGGGCAUCCAGCAGCUGUUAAAGAUUUAUCGAUGUAAGCUGGGCAUGCGUCCAAUUAGCUAGUUGGUGAGGUAACGGCUCACCAAGGCAAUGAUUGGUAGGGGAACUGAGAGGUCAAUCCCCCACACUGGCACUGAGAUACGGGCCAGACUCCUACGGGAGGCAGCAGUAGGGAAUAUUGGGCAACGGACGCAAGUCUGACCCAGCCAUGCCGCGUGCAGGAUGAAGGCGUUAUGCGUUGUAAACUGCUUUUAUACAGGAAGAAACGACUCUUGCGAGAGGCAUUGACGGUACUGUAUGAAUAAGCACCGGCUAACUCCGUGCCAGCCGCCGCCAAAGAC
rnacentral:rRNA from 1 species